GUAAGCUCAUGUGUUUCGUAUUUCGUGUUCUCGCAAUUAUAUAGCUCUUAUUUCAAAUUAUCAAUUCGAGCAAGAACAGUGCGUGGUUGCGUGUGCGUGUGCGUAAGCGUAACGACAAUUUAUGAUAAAUCAUAGCCGGCACAAUAUGGAAACUAUUUACUAAUCACUAAAUCUAACGAGUCGGGAGUAAAAACAUUGUGGUGUUGUUUUGGUCUACCUCUCCUUCAAACAAAAACUGACGAAAAGAGUUCUUUGUAUUCUGUUCUCCACUUUGGUUGGGUCAUUCAACUUGAAAUUUUGAGUCGUAGAAAUCAGGUUUCACUCAAGGAACGCUUAAUGGUUCCAGGAGCAUUAUCUCGGCACGAUGUUGUGUAACUCUAACAUUUUAGUUGAUUGAGAUGUCGAUUGUUGUUCUAAGUUAAUAAUCAUGUAUUUCAAAUUAC